rnacentral:rRNA from 1 species
GACGAACGCUGGCGGCGUGCUUAACACAUGCAAGUCGAACGGUGAAAGCGAAGCUUGCUCCGCUGGAUCAGUGGCGAACGGGUGAGUAACACGUGGGCAACCUGCCCUUCACUUCGGGAUAACUCCGGGAAACCGGGGCUAAUACCGGAUAUGACCUCUGCGGGCAUCCGCGGAGGUGGAAAGUUUUUCGGUGAAGGAUGGGCCCGCGGCCUAUCAGCUUGUUGGUGAGGUAGUGGCUCACCAAGGCGACGACGGGUAGCCGGCCUGAGAGGGGGACCGGCCACACUGGGACUGAGACACGGCCCAGACUCCUACGGGAGGCAGCAGUGGGGAAUAUUGCGCAAUGGGCGAAAGCCUGACGCAGCAACGCCGCGUGCGGGAAGAAGGCCUUCGGGUCGUAAACCGCUUUCAGCAGGAACGAAAAUGACGGUACCUGCAGAAGAAGGUGCGGCCAACUACGUGCCAGCAGCCGCAGUAA